rnacentral:rRNA from 1 species
UAGGGAAUCUUCCACAAUGGACGAAAGUCUGAUGGAGCAACGCCGCGUGAGUGAAGAAGGUUUUCGGAUCGUAAAGCUCUAUUGUUGGUGAAGAAGGAUAGAGGCAGUAACUGGUCUUUAUUUGACGGUAAUCAACCAGAAAGUCACGGCUAACUACGUGCCAC